UCGCUGCCCCUUCCUCGCAAUAAUGAUGAGAGAUCAAGGAUGAAGAUACGCAGAUACGUACAUAAGUGAUAUCAAUCAGCGAAAGGUAAUGCCUCUGAGAAACGUAUAAAUUGCAUUAUAAGAUAUUUCUAUAAAUUACGUUCUCGUUUACUAUGAAACAAGACACGCUUCAUCGUAGAUCGUUAGUAGCAUGUCCCGUCUAGAUAAAGUUUAAGAACAUCCGGAUGUAGGACUAACAUACGUGAGACGCAUUUGACUGGCGUACAUACGGCACAUGAAACACGUGCGUGAAAGACGUGCGCGUGCCGGAAAUCAGUCCGGAUAUGCGAACCACGUGUUCAUUGACAUCUGCGCUGAUUGCGAAAGAUAAGUAUAUCCGGAAAUGGGCCAUCAAUAAUAACGAUAACAAAAAAAAAAAAAAA